AAAAGAAUAAUAAAUUAUUAUGUAUAUAUACUCUGCUCUGGCAAUUGGGAAUUGGGAAGUGUGAUAUACAUGAAAAGAGGUUCCAGAAGUUUGGUGGUGCUCUGGGGAGGACUGCAUUUCCAUUUCCAUUGCCAUCAGACUACCGUAGGCGCCUGUUUCAUUUCUCCUCCACGAGGGUUUAGGGUUCUUUUGAAGAAGGUUAUGGUGCAAUAGUGGAUCAGAUGGGGAAGGGGAAUAGCAAUGCUGCGGACGACCAUGCCCAUGGAUCUGCAGUUUUCUUGAAUCAAGAUUUGAUUCGAGAGUUGUGAUUUGCGAAUGCUAAUCGAGAGUACCAAUCCACAGUGUUCUAAUGACGAAAGAUUCUGCCAUUUCAACAGUUCCUGCUUUGGAAGCAAUACGACAUAGUGCUGUACUGCUGUGAGAAAUGGGUUUUGUAACUUCAACUUCAAAAGUAUUACAGGGAUUUCAUGAGCAAAUCUUGUUAUAUGCAUAUAUCCCUAUAUGCAUAUAAAUGAUUUGUUUUGGUGUUGUCUUUCCAUUAUUUUUGCACGGUAAGUGCAUACAUGAUUAAUAUCAUAAUGCUUUCAUACUGUUGAUUCUAAUUAAUUUACUAAGAUAUAUAUAUAAGUUUUGAAUUUACUUUGCAUGUACCUGUCUUGCAUGAAAGAAAUUGCUUUUAAUACGUUUGUCUUAUGUAUGCAUGUGUGAAUGUAUGUAUUUAUUCAUACGUAUGUGAUUGGUUUUUGUAUUGUUCA